CACACAGCUGGUCACACUCACCACCUAAUAGAGGGGAUGGGAAUUUGUGUCCUCCAUUGGCCCGGGGAAGGAUAAGGCCUGUCAAUGGGGGGCAGGAAAUGCCUGAACCAGAUCACACCUUGGGAGGGUGAGCCUGAAAGCCUGAGAGACUAAAGUGUCUUCAGUACCGUGAUGGAAGUGUGCUGCUCCCAUGAAUCUAGAAAGUAGACAGAACAUCACCAUCACCAUCAAGGGUCUCACCUACCAUUAAGUCAAGACAAG